CUAAUAUAUUGUGAACACAAUAGACAGUGUGGGCUCUGUAAGAUGAAUGUUUUUCUGCAUGCAAGCUGCAACUAAAAGGGCUAUUUUUCCCUUUCAUUAAUCUAGAAUAAAUAAUGGUUAUAAUAUUACAUAACUCUUGCCUUAUCUCUGGCAGUUUCUUCGUGCUGAAAUAGGAGAUUGCUGCAGUAUGCAGCACAGCUUCUCAGUGUGCUCUGUAUGAGAGACAGAAAGGGAGUCAUUCAUGCUGGAAAAUAUCUGGCAAAAUUUCAAAGUUGCUUCCCCUUUAAUAAUUCUUAAACAUGGCUAUGAUGUGUUCCUGAAAUUUUAAAUACAGUUAGAUGUACAUUUCUGUUCACUGUUAGUGAAUUAUCCUCCCACCCCACCCCCCUCCCCCCCCCCCCCCCCCCCCCCCCCCCCCCCCCCCGUAUAGCUUCCGGUGGUUCAAGACUAGUGUGAUUCUAAACGGAAGUACAGCAAAAUCUAGUUAUCAUUUCUGGAAUCUACAAAAUCCUUAGGCUGAGCAGACUUUUGUGACACAUGACUUAUGAAGCGCAAUGCAAUACACAGAACAGGAGCAACUUACCUCUGAUAGACCUGACAUGACAGGCAAGCUCUGAAGCUUUACAGAUAUUGGGAUUCAUCACAGCUGAAAAAGGACAUGCAAAUCUGAAGAUGUAAUGCAUCUAGAAAGGAAGAACACUCCUCUACAAAGAGAGAAGUUUGAGCAGAAGUUUGAGCAGCCAACAGCCACUUCCAUUUUUCUAGGACCCUCCCUAGCAAAGCAAUGUGGAGAUAAGAGCUGAAAAUAGGAAAAUUCAAUGGAUAGGAUGCAUCCAUUGCUGGAAGGUACAGUGUCUAGUCUCUGUGGACUUUGCCUCUCUCUCAAGUAAAUGGAUUCACCAUCCAAUUUCCAAGUGUG
rnacentral:lncRNA from 1 species